rnacentral:rRNA from 1 species
AGUGAACGCUGGCGGUAGGCCUAACACAUGCAAGUCGAACGGCAGCACAGUAAGAGCUUGCUCUUACGGGUGGCGAGUGGCGGACGGGUGAGGAAUACAUCGGAAUCUACUUUUUCGUGGGGGAUAACGUAGGGAAACUUACGCUAAUACCGCAUACGACCUCCGGGUGAAAGCAGGGGAUCUUCGGACCUUGCGCGAUUGAAUGAGCCGAUGUCGGAUUAGCUAGUUGGCGGGGUAAAGGCCCACCAAGGCGACGAUCCGUAGCUGGUCUGAGAGGAUGAUCACCCACACUGGAACUGAGACACGUCCCCGACUCCUACGGGAGGCAGCAGUGGGGAAUAUUGGACAAUGGGCGCAAGCCUGAUCCAGCCAUACCGCGUGGGUGAAGAAGGCCUUCGGGUUGUAAAGCCCUUUUGUUGGGAAAGAAAAGCAGCAGGUUAAUACCCCGCUGUUCUGACGGUACCCAAAGAAUAAGCACCGGCUAACUUCGUG